AAAUCCUACCAGUGAAGACUUGGAUUAAACUGUCCAAGGCAGGAGUCAGAAACAAUCAAGUAACCAGCAAAACAAAGUUGCCAUUUGACUUUGAAAACAGAUUUAGCAUGUUGCCUCUCAGGUGUAAUUUCUGUAAACUUGUUCAGCAUCUCUUGUUAAGUACCCUCAAAUCUGUCCUUAGAUUGUUGCUCAGAAAUUUUCCCACCUCCCUGUGUCAUAUGCCAUCAAUGGUGGAGAGAGCCAAGUUCUGUCCCAGAAGAUUUCUAUAAAAGGGUCAGCUGGAUUGUUGGAGCUGUCAUGUAGCAAUUUGGAAAGCCCUCCCUGCUAGUAACUUUGUUGAAAUUAUUAGCGUCACAGGCAUAAUUGGGGAGCAAUUGUUUCAAUCUGACCCACGUCAGAAUGACAGAAAAUCCCAUGGUACAGGAAAGGCCUUCUUAGUCAUUGUUUGGUUAAGAUAUAUUAAGUUGUGUCUGUAGAAGCAAGGAAAAGCCAACUAAAUCUAAGAUAAUAGAA
rnacentral:lncRNA from 1 species